CACACCGCCCGUCACACCAUGGGAGUUGGUUUGACCUGAAGACGGUGCGCUAACCGCAAGGAGGCAGCCGGCCACGGUCAGGUCAGCGACUGGGGUG
rnacentral:rRNA from 1 species